AUGCUCUGUUUCGCUCUUCCUGUCCAGGUUAUUGAAGCUAUCGACAAGAGACGACGUACCUUUUUCUGGUCUAACGACGACACUUGCUCUGGGGCAAAAUGCCUGGUUGCUUGGGAUAAAGUUUGUACCCCUAGAGAAGCUGGUGGUCUAGGUGUAAAAAACCUUCGCGCACAAAACUUUUGUCUACUGCUGAAAUUUGCUUAUAAAUUUUUACACUCCUCAAACCUUCCCGGGAAGGAUUGGGUCUUACACCAUUCGCCUCUUCACAUUGGACAUGGCAAAAACAGCUCUUUCCUAGCUAAAACCAUUUUCAAGCAUCUUCAGAGUUUGAGAGAGAUUUCCCAGUGCACUGUUGGAGAUGGUUGCUCUACUUUUUUUGGUUAG
rnacentral:rRNA from 1 species